GCAUAUCAAUUUGCGGGGGGAAAAAAACCCACAGGGAUUGCUCUAGUAACGGCGAGUGAAGCAGCAAUAGCUCAAAUUUGAAAUCUGGCGUCUUCGACGUCCGAGUUGUAAUUUGUAGAGGAUGCUUCUGAGUAACCACCGACCUAAGUUCCUUGGAACAGGACGUCAUAGAGGGUGAGAAUCCCGUAUGCGGUCGGAAAGGUGCUCUAUACGUAGCUCCUUCGACGAGUCGAGUUGUUUGGGAAUGCAGCUCUAAAUGGGAGGUAAAUUUCUUCUAAAGCUAAAUAUUGGCCAGAGACCGAUAGCGCACAAGUAGAGUGAUCGAAAGAUGAAAAGCACUUUGGAAAGAGAGUUAAAAAGCACGUGAAAUUGUUAAAAGGGAAGGGAUUGCAACCAGACUUGCUCGCGGUGUUCCGCCGGUCUUCUGACCGGUCUACUCGCCGCGUUGCAGGCCAGCAUCGUCUGGUGCCGCUGGAUAAGACUUGAGGAAUGUAGCUCCCUCGGGAGUGUUAUAGCCUCUUGUGAUGCAGCGAGCGCCGGGCGAGGUCCGCGCUUCGGCUAGGAUGCUGGCGUAAUGGUCUUAUUCCGCCCCUCUUGAAACACGGACCACGGAGUCUAAUAUUUGUGCGAGUGUUCGGGGGUCAAACCCCCACGCGUAAAUGAAAAAGAACGGAGGUGAGAGCCGCUAGGUGCAUCAUCGACCGAUCCUGAUGUUUUCGGAUGGAUUUGAGUAAGAGCAUAGGGGUCGGGACCCGAAAGAAGGUGAACUAUGCCUGAAUAGGGUGAAGCCAGAGGAAACUCUGGUGGAGGCUCGCAGCGGUUCUGACGUGCAAAUCGAUCGUCAAAUAUGGGUAUAGGGGCGAAAGACUAUUCGAACCAUCUAGUAGCUGGUUCCUGCCGAA
rnacentral:rRNA from 1 species